rnacentral:rRNA from 1 species
AUUGAACGCUGGCGGCAGGCCUAACACAUGCAAGUCGAACGAGCGGCGGACGGGUGAGUAAUGUCUGGGAAACUGCACGAUGGAGGGGGAUAACUCCUGGAAACGGUAGCUAAUACCGCAUAUCAUCGGAUUUGCCCAGAUGGGAUUAGCUAGCAGGUGGGGUAACGGCGAACCUAGGCGACGAUGCCUAGCUGGGCUGUGAGGAUGACCAGCCACGCUGGAACUGAGACACGGUCCAGAAUCCUACGGGAGGCAGCAGUGGGGAAUAUUGCACAAUGGGCGCAAGCCUGAUGCAGCCCUGCCGCGUGUAGGAAGAAGGCCUUCGGGUCUUAAAGUACUUUCAGCGAGGAGGCGUUACUCGCAGAAGAAGCACCGGCUAACUCCGUGCCAGCAGCCGCGGUAAUUG